GGCUGUUAGGAGUUCAUACAAUCAUAGAAUCGUAGAAUAUCCUGAGUUGGAAGGGACCCAUAAGGAUCAUCAAGUCCAAUUCCUGGCACUGCACAAGUCUACCCAAAAUUUUAGAUCAUGUGACUAAGCGCACAGUCCAAUUGCUUAAAUUUGGACAGGCUUGGUGCAGUGACUACUUCACUGGGGAGCAUGUUCCAGUGCGCACCCACCCUCUCGGUGAAGAACCUCUUCCUGAUGUCCAGCCUAAACUUCCCCUGCCUCAGGUUAACA